GCCCUUUCUCAUUCUCUCUUUAUCUUUGAAACUCUCUCUUUUGUUAUUGAUUCACGAGACGUUAUCAGCACGAUACGUGAAAGAAUUUUCCUUCUGCCGCCUAGUUCUCAAGUUUCUCGAAAUUGAGCACCCUUUCUCUGUAUUUGUUCUAUUAGCUCCCAUAUCUCUCUCCCCCCUUUCUCUGUCCUGCUCUGUUUCCUUCAGAAAGAAUCCGGGAGCAUGGCAAGCCUCAGAGUCUCCUACUUGCUCUUGCUUCUAUCAAUUUUAGCCUUUGCAGAUGGAGGUUCAAUUGGAAUAAACUAUGGCCGACUUGCUAACAACCUGCCAACUCCAUCAAAAUGAUGGAGCUUCUGAAAUCAAAGGGAUUCGACAGAGUUAAGCUCUACGACACCACUCGGAAGUCCUCACUGCGCUAGCCAACUCGUGUAUAAGUGUCACCGUUGCACUGCCCAACGAUCUCCUCUCUUCCACCGCUGCGGACCAAUCUUUCGCUGACAUCUGGGUACAAACCAAAAUCUUUCAGUUCUAUCCUGCUACCAAAAUCAAAGCCAUUUUGCGUCGAGAAUGAGCUCUCAGCGACCUCCAAUCUUCAUACCCAUUCUCAUCCGGAUCUUUCAAGUCCGAACUAGAUCUUGCUCAAGGACUUGAUUUACGCACAUAUCUGCUCAAGGGAUAGACCGUGCGAGGUGCCUUCUAUAAGGUGACUGAGGUGCCUGCUCACAGACUUCGUAGAUCCAUGACCCACAAUCGAGAUGGCUUCCGAGAAGUGAUGCAUGGCUUCCUCUUUCAUGGGUCUUCUCGGCAGCUUCGGAUCUGGAACAGAAUGGCCUGAAGAUAGCUCUGCGUUGGGGUUAACUCACUGCAGGAAAAUCACUAUUUGAGACUAUAAAAGUGUCUUCCUCUUGGGACGCUCUUACUUUAAUCAGUAGAAGGAGGUAUGGUCAAAAGGUGACAAUGGGACAAGGGGACAAGAGGCUUGUCAAUCAUGGCUACGAAUGGUAGGUGGGCGGGAACUAUGAAAGGUAGGUGGGUGGGUUGCAAGUGGGGUCUACUUUGGGUCAAUGGUCCAUUUUAUACAAAAUUCCGCUCCUCUUACCUGCUCCAAACGAAAAGUAUAUAAUAUAAUAAUAUAUACACGGGCCCACUCUAGCAUGUACCACCAUCUCACUAAGACUACCUAUUUCUCUUGUACUAUUAUAUUUUGAAAAAGUGCAGGAUGCGAAAGAAAAUGGAAGAAAAGUCCACUCUAAUAUCACGAAUGUUCUGAUGAUAUUGAAGAUAAUAGUCUUCUAUUUCAAGUAAAUUUUUUAAUAUAUUAUCUAUAA